AACGAACGCUGGCGGCAUGCCUAACACAUGCAAGUCGAACGAGACCUUCGGGUCUAGUGGCGCACGGGUGCGUAACGCGUGGGAAUCUGCCCUUGGGUUCGGAAUAACAGUUGGAAACGACUGCUAAUACCGGAUGAUGACGUAAGUCCAAAGAUUUAUCGCCCAAGGAUGAGCCCGCGUAGGAUUAGCUAGUUGGUGAGGUAAAGGCUCACCAAGGCGACGAUCCUUAGCUGGUCUGAGAGAAUGAUCAGCCACACUGGGACUGAGACACGGCCCAGACUCCUACGGGAGGCAGCAGUGGGGAAUAUUGGACAAUGGGCGAAAGCCUGAUCCAGCAAUGCCGCGUGAGUGAUGAAGGCCUUAGGGUUGUAAAGCUCUUUUACCCGGGAUGAUAAUGACAGUACCGGGAGAAUAAGCUCCGGCUAACUCCGUG
rnacentral:rRNA from 1 species